rnacentral:tRNA from 1 species
AGGGGUUUAGCUCAGUUGGUAGAGCGGCGGUCUCCAAAACCGCAGGUCGUGGGUUCGAGCCCCCCAGCCCCUGCCA